UACGAAGGGGGCUAGCGUUGCUCGGAAUGACUGGGCGUAAAGGGCGCGUAGGCGGACGGCUUUGUCGGGCGUGAAAUUCCAGGGCUUAACCUUGGGGCUGCGUUCGAGACGGGUUGUCUAGAGUUUGGAAGAGGGUCGUGGAAUUCCCAGUGUAGAGGUGAAAUUCGUAGAUAUUGGGAAGAACACCGGUGGCGAAGGCGGCGACCUGGUCCUUGACUGACGCUGAGGUGCGAAAGCUAGGGGAGCGAACGGG
rnacentral:rRNA from 1 species